rnacentral:tRNA from 1 species
UACACUUUAGUAUAAAUGUAUAAAAAUUUUUGGUGUUUUAGGAAGCAAUUUAUUUUGCUAAGUGUAU